rnacentral:lncRNA from 1 species
GUCAAUAUCUUUUGUAUAUAAAUGCCUUACUGGGAUCUUCUCUGUAACCUUCAUCUCAAAACACACUUUGCCUUUUGACACACCAUAGGAUGCUCUUCCUCCAGCCCAAAGAAAAGCAAAACUCUCCAUUGUAAGGGAAGAAGCACUGAGACGAUCUCUUGAUAUUUUAAAAUGUAGAUCACAAUUAUAAGUAUCAAGACAAACCACUGUGUCAUCGAAGUGUUCAUCUUCUUCUUCAACAGGUGGCUGAGGAGAUUUGGCUCUGCUAUACUUGUUCUCUUCAAUGUACUCAAAAUAUCCACGGCCAUGAUCUUCUCGUGGUCUUUUAACACCCCUCUUUUUAUCUCCGCCUUUCUGUUCUGUUUUGCCGUCCCCCGCCGCCGGAGCCCCGGGGCGACCGCCGCCUCCGCCGCCUUCCGCCUUCUUCUUACCUCCCGCCUGCUGCUGGCCCUGCCUCGCCCCGGGCGGCGCCACCGUCACCGCGAACAGCGAGGUGGGGCCGCUGCUCUUCCCCGCGGCCUCCUUGGCGGCCCCGCGCUGCUGUUGGGGCUGUUGCUGCUGCGUCGCCGGCGGUUGAGGCUGCUGCUCCCCGUGCCCGUUCUCGUCGCCCGCGCCUUCCUCUUCGUCCCCGAGCUCAUCUUCCCCUUCCUGGAAACCCUGAUCGUCGCCGUUCUCGUCUUCCGAGGCGGCCUCCUCCUCCUCCAUCGGGCCCGAGUCGGCCGCCCCCGCGGCCCCGUUCUCCUCUCCUAGCUCCAUCUGGUCGCCGUCCAGAGCGGAGAUUCCUUCCUCCUCCUCUUCCUCUUCCUCCUCCUCUUCAUCGCCGCCGGCCGCGGCCUCCUGCUCGAGGCCUGCUCCCGAGCGCCCAGCGGAAUCCCCGCCCAGGUCUAGGCUGCCGUUCCCGGGCUCCAUGGCGGGGCGGCCCCCGGCCUCCUCGUCGUCCAGCGCAGCCUGGAGUCGCUCCAUGAGCUCGGCCUUGAGACCCUUGUCAGAAAGGCGUCGCUUCUUGAGCUCCUCUUUCAGCUCCGACACCUUCAGCUUUUUUACAUUAACAGGCGAGGAACUCAUGGUGAGGGCCCCGAUUCACCGCUAGGCGCUGCCUCAAACUCGGCUCCGCUCACUCGGCCACUGGUGGCGGCUGCUGCGGCUGCUCCUCGGCCCGGGCGGCGGCUGCGGCUGCGGCUGGAGAUGGGUUCGUGCUGCAGAGCGGAUCCGCCUGGUGUCGAACGGCGCCAAUUCCUUUCACCGAGUUCGCGAGGGAGACGCGGAGACUCGCCU